UUAGGCCUUGAGGUGAAGGCCUUGGUGUGAAUGAGAAGACAGGUCAGCUGAAGGAGUCACAUCAGAUCAGAAGAGGGAAAAGUCCCAGAGUCUACCAGAGUCAAGGAAGGUGAAGUCCUCGUUCUGAGGAAGUGGCAGUCUGCGGGUAAGCUACAUCAGCUCAGCAGAGGGAAGAGUCCUGGAUUCUGCCAGAGUUUAAGGCCCGUGGGAUCCCAUCUCCUACCAUCCUGCUAACACUUCCACCUACUCCCUCCAACAAGACUUAUCAUGCCUUACUCUCCAAAGUGUCCACGCCUCACAUUUGAGCCAGGCUUUCAUACCCUAAGUGAGAUACAAGGCUUGCUGAUGGUU